rnacentral:rRNA from 1 species
CAGUAGCCGCGGGAAUACGUAGGGUGCGAGCGUUAAUCGGAAUUACUGGGCGUAAAGCGUGCGCAGGCGGUUGUGUAAGACAGGUGUGAAAUCCCCGGGCUCAACCUAGGAACUGCGCUUGUGACUGCACAGCUAGAGUAUGGCAGAGGGGGGUGGAAUUCCACGUGUAGCAGUGAAAUGCGUAGAGACGUGGAGGAACACCGAUGGCGAAGGCAGCCCCCUGGGCCAAUACUGAUGCUCAUGCACGAAAGCGUGGGGAGCAAACAGGAUUAGAUACCCCGGUAGUCCCUGUCUCUUAUAC